rnacentral:rRNA from 1 species
AACGAACGCUGGCGGCAUGCCUAACACAUGCAAGUCGAACGAGACCUCCGGGUCUAGUGGCGCACGGGUGCGUAACGCGUGGGAACCUGCCCUUAGGUUCGGAAUAACUCCCCGAAAGGGGUGCUAAUACCGGAUAAUGUCUUCGGACCAAAGAUUUAUCGCCUUUGGAUGGGCCCGCGUUGGAUUAGCUAGUUGGUAGGGUAAAAGCCUACCAAGGCGACGAUCCAUAGCUGGUCUGAGAGGAUGGUCAGCCACACUGGGGCUGAGACACGGCCCAGACUCCUACGGGAGGCAGCAGUGGGGAAUAUUGGACAAUGGGCGAAAGCCUGAUCCAGUAAUGCCGGGUGAGUGAUGAAGGCCUUAGGGUUGUAAAGCUCUUUUACCCGGGAUGAUAAUGACAGUACCGGGAGAAUAAGCUCCGGCUAACUCCGUG